rnacentral:rRNA from 1 species
UACGUAGGGUGCGAGCGUUAAUCGGAAUUACUGGGCGUAAAGCGUGCGCAGGCGGUUUUGUAAGCCAGAUGUGAAAGCCCCGGGCUUAACCUGGGAACUGCGUUUGAAACUGGGAGACUUGAGUGUGGCAGAGGGGGGUGGAAUUCCACGUGUAGCAGUGAAAUGCGUAGAUAUGUGGAGGAACACCAAUGGCGAAGGCAGCCCCCUGGGUCAACACUGACGCUCAUGCACGAAAGCGUGGGGAGCAAACAGG